UACGGAGGGAUCUAGCGUUGUUCGGAAUUACUGGGCGUAAAGAGCGCGUAGGCGGCUAAUUAAGUUGGAAGUGAAAUCCCAGGGCUUAACCUUGGAACUGCUUUCAAAACUGAUUGGCUAGAGUACGAUAGAGGAUGGUGGAAUUCCUAGUGUAGAGGUGAAAUUCUUAGAUAUUAGGAGGAACAUCAGAGGCGAAGGCGACCAUCUGGGUCGUUACUGACGCUGAGGCGCGAAAGCGUGGGGAGCAAACAGG
rnacentral:rRNA from 1 species